rnacentral:rRNA from 1 species
UACGUAGGGGGCAAGCGUUGUCCGGAUUUAUUGGGCGUAAAGAGCGUGUAGGCGGCCUGGAAGGUCAGCUGUGAAAACUCGAGGCUCAACCUCGAGACGUCGGUUGAAACCACCUGGCUAGAGUCCGGAAGAGGAGAGUGGAAUUCCCGAUGUAGCGGUGAAAUGCGCAGAUAUCGGGAAGAACACCCGUGGCGAAGGCGGCUCUCUGGGACGGUACUGACGCUGAGACGCGAAAGCGUGGGGAGCGAACAGG